rnacentral:rRNA from 1 species
AGCUGCAGAAGAAGCACCGGCUAACUCCGUGCCAGCAGCCGCGGUAAUACGGAGGGUGCGAGCGUUAAUCGGAAUUACUGGGCGUAAAGCGCAUGCAGGUGGUUUGUUAAGUCAGAUGUGAAAGCCCGGGGCUCAACCUCGGAAUUGCAUUUUGAAAACUGGCAAACUAGAGUACUGUAGAGGGGGGUAGAAGUUUCAGGUGUAGCGGUGAAAUGCGUAGAGAUCUGAAGGAAUACCGGUGGCGAAGGCGGCCCCCUGGACCAGAUACUGACACUCAGAUGCGAAAGCGUGGGGAGCAAACAGGAUUAGAUACCCUGGUAG